GUGGGGAAUCUUGCGCAAUGGGCGAAAGCCUGACGCAGCAACGCCGCGUGCGGGAAGAAGGCCUUAGGGUUGUAAACCGCUUUCAGUAGGAACGAAAAUGACGGUACCUGCAGAAGAAGGUGCGGCCAACUACGUGCCAGCAGCCGCGGUGACACGUAGGCACCAAGCGUUGUCCGGAUUUAUUGGGCGUAAAGAGCUCGUAGGCGGUUGAGUAAGUCGGGUGUGAAAACUCUGGGCUUAACCCAGAGCCGCCACCCGAUACUGCUCUGACUUGAGUUCGGUAGGGGAGCAGGGAAUUCCUAGUGUAGCGGUGAAAUGCGCAGAUAUUAGGAGGAACACCGGUGGCGAAGGCGCUGCUCUGGGCCGAUACUGACGCUGAGGAGCGAAAGCGUGGGUAGCAAACAGGAUUAGAAACCCGGGUAGUCC
rnacentral:rRNA from 1 species